rnacentral:lncRNA from 1 species
UUAGAAAUCUUGAAUUAUUGUAGGACUUUAAAACUUUAAGUUGUGAACUUUAGAGAACUUGAAUUUUUGUAGGAUUUUAGAACUUUAUAAGAUUGUGAGCGUUAGAAAUCUUGAAUUAUUGUAGGAUUUUAAAACUUUAAGUUGUGAAGUUUAGGGAACUUGAAUUUUUGUAAGAUUUUAGAAUUUUAGGGUGUGAAACCUUAGAAAUCUUGAAUUAUUGUAGAAUAUUAGAACUUUA